rnacentral:misc_RNA from 1 species
AGAGAGAGAGAGAGAGAGCAAUAAUACACCCAAAAAGAUUACAAAAUAAAAUUAGAUGGUAGAAAUUUUGAUUAAUUUCUGAAAAACAAAACUAAAAUACAAGCAUUCAAAUUUUCAGUUCAUCAAUCAAUCAAGAUUAUUAUGAAGUAAUAGAAGAGAUGGAACUUUGAGAUAGAAGUUGCAUCACUACAAAGUUAACAAUCGACAUAAACGAAACGGAGAGGAUCGAAUCGAAGUAAUACCUAAAGGAGCGAGAGCGGAGUGGAACCCCGAAGACUAAACGCUUCCGCCAACAAUAAUUGGUUUAUCCUAAA